rnacentral:rRNA from 1 species
AUUGAACGCUGGCGGCAGGCCUAACACAUGCAAGUCGAGCGAGCGGCGGACGGGUGAGUAAUGUAUGGGGAUCUUCCCGAUAGAGGGGGAUAACUCCUGGUAACCGUGGCUAAUACCGCAUACUCUCGGUUGACCCCAUCUGGGAUUAGCUAGUGGGUGUGGUAACGGCUCACUUAGGCGAUGAUCUCUAUCUGGUCUGAGAGGAUGAUUGACCACACUGGGACUGAGAAACGGCCCAAACUCCAACGGGAGGCAGAAGUGGGGAAUAUUGGACAAUGGGGGCAAGCCUGAGGCAGCCAGGCGGGGUGUAUGAAGAAGGCCUUGGGGUUGUAAAGUACUUUCAGCGGGGAGGCGUUACCCGAAGAAGAAGCACCGGCUAACUCCGUGCCAGCAGCCGCGGUAAUAC